AUGAAGGUCCCAUCUGGCUUCUCGUCGAAUAUAAAGGGAAUAAUAAAUAUGACAGAGAAAAAGUUCCAGAACCUAAAUUCUCAUGACUGUCACGUGAUUAUGACGCAACUGCUUCCGGUUGCAUUGAGGGGGCUUCUACUAGAAAACGUUCGAUUAGCCAUGGUGAUGCUAUGUGCAUUCCUCAAUGCAAUCUCUCAGAAGGUGAUCGAUCCAGAAAUCCUACCAAGGUUAAGGAGUGAUUUGGCGCAAUGUCUUGUCAGUUUCGAGUUGGUGUUCCCACCAUCCUUCUUCAAUAUCAUGACACACGUCCUAGUUCAUCUAGUCAACAAGAUUGCCAUUCUGGACCCUGUAUUUCUACACAAUAUGUUCCCCUUUGAGAAGUUCAUGGGAUUCUUAAAGAAAUAUGUUCGUAACUAUGCUAGGCUAGAAGGAAGCAUCUCUACGACCCAUAAAAAAGGACGUCAUUGA
rnacentral:rRNA from 1 species